AGAGUGCACAUUAAUUAUCUCUAAGGCCAUGGGAUAAACAAAAACCCCUAUAAAACCAAGUUAACACACCCUAGAAUGGCUCUAAAACGAUUACUAACCUAUGGCUCUGAUACUAAUUGAUGGGAAAACCCC
rnacentral:pre_miRNA from 1 species